rnacentral:misc_RNA from 1 species
UGGUGAACCAGCGGAGGGAUCAUUACAGAGUUGUAAAACUCCAAACCCAUGUGAACAUACCUCGUGUUGCCUCGGCGGCGAGCGUAGUGCUCGGGAGGUGCCUACCCGGUACCUACCCUAGAGCUACCCUGGAGCCUCCUACCCUGGAGCUGCGAGGUACCUACCCUGGAGUUACCCGGUAGUAACAUACCCGGUAGCUACCCUGGAGGACAUGCGCAUCCGCCGGAGGACCACUCAAACUCUUGUUUCUGUGUGGCACA